AGAAGACAACCUUUCUCUUGCAACACAGCUCCAGACCCCAUACCCAUUGGAAUACUGUUGAGUACAUUGCCAGUCUUGGCUGGACUGUCCUGCCACACCCAUUGCAUAUCCAGAUUUGGCACCUUCUGAUUUCCAUCUGUAUGGACUAAUGAAAGAUGGACUGUGUGGGCAACACUUACCCAGUAACAACGCCAUCGCAGCAGCUGUGAAACAGUGGGUCACCUCCGCUGGUGAAGAUUUUUACAGAUUAGGAUCCCAUCUGUACCAACAGCCACCACUGCUCUUUGCAAUCCUACUAUGACUGAAGAUCACAAGACGGGAGGAGACAUUCACUGUUUCAUACUGAAAGAUGGUUUUAUCCCUGUCUAGAGGAUGGAAAAUACAUGACAGAAUGGACUUCAGAAGUAACAGAGGAAGUCCUUGCUUCUAGAGCUGUCACUGAAGGCAGCAUAUGGCUCUCCUGCAGUCGGGGAAGGAUCCCACAGUGUGACCUAGCUAGCCUCCACACCUCUGAUUCCUGUUACCCCUGCACAGAGGUUACCACUUUCAGCUAGGAGGCUCUGUGCAGCGCCCAUUCCCCGGAGUGCUUAUCUGGCCAUGAGCUGUGAUUGUGUACAUCUGCAGUCAGUCAGUGCUUGGUCUUGAGGAUGAAGACAAAAUCAAAAGACAGCAAGAUGUACCAGAAGGCUGAACAGACUUACAGAGUCAGAACUGAAAGUGCAUGUGGUCUGAAGAAUCUCAUUUUUAGGGCAAAUAUUGGUAGUAAUAAAAGCAUCGCUAUUGACUUGGGGUCAAAACUUCAGUCAUUUCUGCCAUCACAUGUCCUACUGUAACCACUUCUGAGAUGCUGGAGAACUGCUGUAAUAUUCAUAUUCUAACAACUUAGAUAAAAAGACUGAUAGCAGUCCUGUUUCCUUAAGCCAGUUACAUCCUACCUGCAGCCUGUGAGCUGCACACUGCCUGGCCCAGCGUGCAAUUUGGCUACUGUCUGCCUGUGCCAUCAUGGCGGCCCUGGGCGUGCACCCAUUCCUCAGCAACAACCAAACAUCAGUGUGCUAUUAACGCUGUCUGGGAUGAAACCAGGGUACAG
rnacentral:lncRNA from 1 species